CUAACAGGAUUCCCCUAGUAACUGCGAGUGAAGCGGGAAAAGCUCAAAUUUAAAAUCUGGUGGUCUUUGGCCAUCCGAGUUGUAAUUUAGAGAAGCGUCUUCCGCGCUGGGCCGUGCACAAGUCUCCUGGAAUGGAGCGUCACAGAGGGUGAGAAUCCCGUCUUUGGCAUGGACACACCAGGGCUUUUGUGAUGCGCUCUCGAAGAGUCGAGUUGUUUGGGAAUGCAGCUCAAAAUGGGUGGUGAACUCCAUCUAAAGCUAAAUAUUGGCGAGAGACCGAUAGCGAACAAGUACCGUGAGGGAAAGAUGAAAAGCACUUUGGAAAGAGAGUGAAACAGUACGUGAAAUUGUUGAAAGGGAAACGCUUGAAGUCAGUCGCGUCGACCGAGACUCAGCCUUGCCUUGGCUUGGUGUACUUCUCGGCUGACGGGUCAGCAUCAAUUUUGCCCCUUGGAUAAUGAUGGGGGAAAUGUGACACCUUUACGGUGUGUUAUAGUCUCUCGUCGCAUGCAAGGGUCGGGAUUGAGGAACUCAGCACGCACCUUUGGGUGUCGGGGCUUUGCCCACGAUACGUGCUUAGGAUGUUGGCGUAAUGGCUUUAAACGACCCGUCUUGAAACACGGACCAAGGAGUCUAACAUGCCUGCGAGUGUUCGGGUGGAAAACCCGUGCGCGUAAUGAAAGUAAAAGUUGGGACCUCUGUCGUGGAGGGCACCGACGCCCGGACCAGACCUUCUGUGACGGCUCUGCGGUAAAGCAUGUAUGUUAGGACCCGAAAGAUGGUGAACUAUGCCUGAAUAGGGUGAAGCCAGAGGAAACUCUGGUGGAGGCUCGUAGCGAUUCUGACGUGCAAAUCGAUCGUCAAAUUUGGGUAUAGG
rnacentral:rRNA from 1 species